rnacentral:tRNA from 1 species
GCCCAGGUGGCGGAAUUGGUAGACGCGCUAGCUUCAGGUGUUAGUGGCCUUACGGUCGUGGAGGUUCAAGUCCUCUCCUGGGCACCA